GCCGUCUCGCGGGAUGAUUCUGGGCCCACUGUGGUUAUUUAUAGCUUCUUAUGCAAAGUGACAGAUAGCGCUGCUUCACCUUCUUUAUUAUUUACAUCCAUAUUGGAGCGACUGAUUUAGGGUGAGGAAUACAGAGAGAGCAAAGGGCUCCUGAAAUCCACACCAGGAUGGACCGACCGAGUCAUGUGACCGAGAUUGAUCUCAGAUGCGGAUAUCGCUGUGAAGGUUCUGGUGGGAUCAAAUGGACAAACUCAUGUGUCGGGCAUACGGAGAAGAGCGACAGGAGCAGUUGGUUGGACCCAGAUGGUCCAAGAUGGACGUGUCAAGCGUAAAAAGAAAAAAGAGAAAGAACGUUUCAAUCUGUGAUUUCUUCUCAUGUCACCAUUUACGGAUGCGUCUUCUUAUUCCAGUCAAGGAAACCAAAGAAAGAAUUGAUCCAAUUUGAAAUAUUCACAAGCAGCUCUUUUGUGGUGCACAUCGAGCCGUGAUGGUGCUCAAAUAACCUCGAGGCUGAUUGUCGGAAGCAAACAGGCUGAGAAGACAGAUCGCCAGCAGCUUCGGGGCAGAAGACAUGGCCAGAGACACGUGGCCGUAUUCCUUUCAAAUAAAAUGGAAUGAAAAUGACAAAGCAGCUUGUAUCCAGGCAGAGCGAGUGAAACCUGUGUGGAAACUACCCACAAUGCCCCAGUGGGCCUCCCCCUCCCCCCCAUCACGAAGCGCACACUUCACUGCAAAGCGACAGAGUGCUGAACUCAGCAAACGGCAGGCCAAGCUGCAAUCUGUUGUUUGGCUUAUUCGGUAAUUUGGCUCUCGGAGUAUUUAGCAAAUGGAACGUAAUCAUUGACAAGAGGAUAGUUGCGUCAUUAAGUUGACUUGGAUUCUUUUCAAAGCGCCAGAAUACGGAAGGUAAACAAAACGGUGAGUCGACGGGAAGACAAUCCAAGGACGACGGGAGGCGGAAGCUUGCGCGGCAGGACUGCUGAUCUUUUACUUCUUAUUAUGAAAGGCCCCGAAAUAGCGUUUGUUCUUUUGCGCUCUGGCGCUUUUAUCUCGACACGUCGGGAAUGAAGCCACUCGGGCAUCCGUCUUCAUGUCCGUCGUCUUGUUCUUCAACGGGGUUACGAUUCGGGUUGGUUCAGUAUCGUGACAACUUCAGUGGAGAUUAAAUGAGGAGUGACUGGGGGGGUCUGGUUUAUGAGUCUCUAGUCCACUCGGGGGUCCCAACCCGAGCUUUCACCCCUGCUGGGGUCAAACAUGUUUAGCCAAAUCCUUUGCUCCGCAGACACACGCGUGCCAUCCAAAUCCCAGUUAAACACCACGACAUGCCAGGGAGGGGCGGCGGGAUGAUUUAUUUUUACCAGUUUUGUUUUUGCCGAUUGAUCGGCCGAUUCCCGAGCAAUUAUCUUCCCAUCAAACACAAAGGCCGCAGCUGCCUUGGCAUUAUUAGCGUCCCAUCUGGUUAGAGGCAAGAUGGCUAACAUUACAGGGGCAUUGGAAAAAAAAAUCGUCUUGUAGUCCAUCCGCCUGCAGCUGAACGCAUCGAGGGACGAGCAAAGCCUUCAAAGGCUCCCACCAUCAAACACACAGGUGCCGGCGGAGAACACCCAGCCCACAAAUCUAUUUCAUCCUUUUUUUUGUAUGUCCACCUGAGACCCGAAACGCGUUUACUCGGUUCGCUCGGCUCGAUCCUCGGAGAGAUUGCAUCCUGCAGUCUCGAA